AGAUGUCUUUAUUUGCUUUACCCUGUCAAUGAUUUAAUUUCACAGGGUCCAUAUCUCUCACUUGGCCAUACUGAGGAAGCUUUAAGUAGUAUUCAUAGUUUUAAAAUCUAAGUUGCAACAAUGGUAAUUUGAUGCAUUAUAAAUGACAUUAGGUAUAUGGGCUUUUUAAAAUUAAAAAAGAAAAGCUAAAAUUUGCAAUGCCACAUAAAUGACUUUAGAUUUGG
rnacentral:misc_RNA from 1 species